rnacentral:rRNA from 1 species
CCUACGGGUGGCAGCAGUGGGGAAUAUUGCACAAUGGGGGAAACCCUGAUGCAGCGACGCCGCGUGAGUGAAGAAGUAUUUCGGUACGUAAAGCUCUAUCAGCAGGGAAGAAAAUGACGGUACCUGACUAAGAAGCCCCGGCUAACUACGUGCCAGCAGCCGCGGUAAUACGUAGGGGGCAAGCGUUAUCCGGAUUUACUGGGUGUAAAGGGAGCGUAGACGGCAGCGCAAGGCUGGAGUGAAAUCCCAUGGCUUAACCAUGGAACUGCUUUGGAAACUGUGCAGCGAGAGUGCAGGAGAGGUAAGCGGAAUUCCUAGUGUAGCGGUGAAAUGCGUAGAUAUUAGGAGGAACACCAGUGGCGAAGGCGGCUUACUGGACUGUAACUGACGUUGAGGCUCGAAAGCGUGGGGAGCAAACAGGAUUAGAUACCCGGGUAGUC